GAACGAAGUAGCAAUACUUAGUGGCAGACGGGUGAGUAACAUGUAGGUAUCUUCCCUUUGGUGAGGAAUAACACGAGGAAACUUGUGCUAAUACCUCAUAAGUCUUUACGGAGAAAGCUUUAUGCGCCAUUGGAUGAGCCUGCACUUGAUUAGUUUGUUGGUGGGGUAAUGGCCUACCAAGACUGUGAUCAAUAGCUGAUCUGAGAGGAUGAUCAGCCACAUUGGGACUGAGACACGGCCCAAACUCCUACGGGAGGCAGCAGUAGGGAAUAUUGCACAAUGGAGGAAACUCUGAUGCAGCGAUGCCGCGUGAGUGAAGAAGGCCUUUGGGUUGUAAAGCUCUUUCGUCGGGGAAGAAAAUGACUGUACCCGAAUAAGAAGGUCCGGCUAACUUCGUGCCAGCAGCCGCGGUAAUACGAAGGGACCUAGCGUAGUUCGGAAUUACUGGGCUUAAAGAGUUCGUAGGUUGUUAAAAAAGUUGGUGGUGAAAUCCCAGAGCUCAACUCUGGAACUGCCAUCAAAACUUUUUAGCUAGAGUAUGAUAGAGGAAAGCAGAAUUUCUAGUGUAGAGGUGAAAUUCGUAGAUAUUAGAAAGAAUACCAAUUGCGAAGGCAGCUUUCUGGAUCAUUACUGACGCUGAGGAACGAAAGCAUGGGUAGCGAAGAGGAUUAGAUACCCUCGUAGUCCAUGCCGUAAACGAUGUGUGUUAGACGUUGGAAAUUUAUUUUCAGUGUCGCAGCGAAAGCAGUAAACACACCGCCUGGGGAGUACGACCGC
rnacentral:rRNA from 1 species